UACAGAGGGGGCAAGCGUUGUUCGGAAUUACUGGGCGUAAAGGGCGCGUAGGUGGCCCGCUAAGUCGAACGUGAAAUCCCCGAGCUCAACUCGGGAACUGCGUCCGAUACUGGUGGGCUUGAAUCCGGGAGAGGGAUGCGGAAUUCCAGGUGUAGCGGUGAAAAUGCGUAGAUAUCUGGAGGAACACCGGUGGCGAAGGCGGCAUCCUGGACCGGCAUUGACGCUGAGGCGCGAAAAGCUAGGGGGAGCAAACGGG
rnacentral:rRNA from 1 species